rnacentral:rRNA from 1 species
GUGUCAGCAGCCGCGGUAAGACAGAGGUGCCAAGCGUUAGGCGGAAUCACUGGGCUUAAAGCGUGUGUAGGUGGAUGCCUAAGUGCUUUGUGAAAUCCCACGGCUCAACCGUGGAAUUGCUCAGCAUACUGGGUGUCUUGAGCUAUUUAGGGGUCGCUGGAACAAACGGUGGAGCGGUGAAAUGCGUAGAUAUCGUUUGGAACGCCAAUGGUGAAAACAGGCGACUGGGAAUAUGCUGACACUGAGACACGAAAGCCAGGGGAGCAAACGGGAUUAGAUACCCCGGUAGUCC